GAAGGCGCUACGCGUUGUAAACUGCUUUUAACCGGGAAGAAACCCCUCGACGUGUCGAGGGUUGACGGUACCGGAGGAAUAAGCACCGGCUAACUUCGUGCCAGCAGCCGCGGUAAUACGAAGGGUGCAAGCGUUAUCCGGAUUCAUUGGGUUUAAAGGGUGCGUAGGCGGGGCGUUAAGUCAGUGGUGAAAUCCUGCAGCUUAACUGUAGAAUUGCCAUUGAUACUGGCGCUCUUGAGUACGCUUGACGUGGGCGGAAUGUGCCGUGUAGCGGUGAAAUGCUUAGAUAUGGCACAGAACACCGAUCGCGAAGGCAGCUCACGAAGGCGAAACUGACGCUGAGGCACGAAAGCGUGGGGAUCGAACAGGAUUAGAUACCCUGGUAGUCCACGCCGUAAACGAUGAUCACUCGUGAUCGGCGAUACACGGCCGGUCACCUAGCGAAAGCGUUAAGUGAUCCACCUGGGGAGUACGAUCGCAAGAUUG
rnacentral:rRNA from 1 species